rnacentral:lncRNA from 1 species
GCCCUGCAGUUAUAUUUUGGCUGCCUUUUGCUCCUUCAUUUUUGUGUGUUUGAAAAUCAAUACAACUGACAUGCUUUACUUCUUCCACAUGCAGUGAUUGCUAAAAAUGACAGGGAUCAGAUCGACCGCCAAGAAUGAUGCAUAGCUUAACUGCUGUCGUAGUCGAUUUCCAACAGGGAAUACCUUUCUAGACUCCAACCUUCACAGUUCUCGUUGACUCAUCUUGCUAGCAACUGAGUAGCUUUUUGCAUACUUCUGUCAACAGCUCAAUGCCACCAAAUCUUUUUUGCCGUUCUUCUCUAUUAUACAACAUCUGUUAUACAUCAUACGGUGCCGAGCUCCUCAUACACCAACCAUUGUACAAACAUAUCAUGAGUGGUAGGAAAAUUUUGAACCUGUAGUAUGUCACCUUAUUUUCCAGAUGGGCAAUAGACGUCGUCAUACUGUACUGUAAUAGUGUCUUACCGGGUUUCAAUUUGGUUUGCUUUGUACAAUGCUUGCACUGGAAAUGUUGAACUAUCGAGCCUCCUCUACUCUGUUCUGUUGUAUGAUUACAAUUGCAAUAGUAUUAUUGGAUCUGUUAAUCAGUGCCUACAUGUUAGAUUGGCUUGAUUUUGAGAUGCAGCGAGACUCUGAUGUUUCUGAAUUCUGAUGUGAAGGCAUGUCUACAUCAGUACAACUUUGCAUGCAUAUUUUAUUGACUAGAUAUAUACGUGUUGACUGUCUGUUCCUCUAGUUUCCUGAUGUGCAUGUUUAUUUGGAUGCACUGAACCUUUGCAUGUAGUAAUAGUUCUCUGAUAUACAUGCAACCUGAUGGAACUUUCAUGCUCUGCCAUUGACCUACCAUGAAUAUAUAUUACUACAGCAGCCUGUUACUAUUACUACAUGCCAUCUUUUUAUUUUCAGUAGUGAUUUUGAUGCAACCUGAUGGAACUUUCAUGCUCUGCUAGUGAGAAUAAGAUGUUAUAGUCUAGAUAUAUGAUGCAAAGUAUGUUGUAUUUACACACUUGUAUCAAACUGCAGCAACCGCACAGGUGAGUUGAGGCAGGGGAUAGAGAGGUUGAGCCGCUCGGGUGCUGAUCAUGUACAGCUGAGCUCUUUCCAGCGUCGAUGCGACCAAACCAAUGAUGCAAGGCUUCUGCUGUUGCUGCUGCAUGUCUUCAUCAACUUAGUUGUUCCACAGGGAGAGAUAUAAAUCCUUCACUUGUUCACUUUGUAAUCUGCAGAUUACUUCUUCCAUUAAUCACCUAGUGCUCCUGUUAGUGAGAUUCAUCUAGUAUUUUUUUGCAAAGCAUGCAAUGGUUUGGAGUAGUUGAUCAUGGCCUGAUGGAACCUCUAGCUGAACAAUAAGAUAGGUUAGUUAGUGUAGUAGAGGAAGAAAGAUGAUAUAUUUAUUAUUUGCUUUUGCUGCUUCUAUAUACACAUGUAUGUAUGUUUAGUUAUUCGACAUGCUUCUGAAAUUGACCGUGGUUUUAGACCGAAACACUAUGCUUGUUCAAAGAGUGUCCAUGUUGUGUGAUAUAUGAUGCUGCACCGUUGUGCAUCUCUCUUUUCUUGUGUGCCGCAUCAUUGUAGAUAUGCUUGAUAGAGUAAAUGAUUUCAGUUCUGGUUGUGUCAAAUCUUUACUAUGUACCAUGCUUAGUGUUUAUUUUACUGAGGCAUUGGGCAUUGGAAUUUAGGCAUUUAUGUAUAUUUUUAGUUCUGGAUGUGUCCAAUGCAAACAUUACUGUCAACUGUCAAGUUGAUUCUAAAAUGUCUUAUUAAGUUCAUUUCAAAUGGUUAUUUCUGGAUUUAGUAUGAAUUUAUUGUUGACCUGGCCUAUGCUCUGUACCAAUUUAUUGCAUUAUUUUGUUAUUUAGUGUUAAAUAUGCUGUUAUAUUUACUUUUAUUUUGUUCCUAAACAUUUUGUUCUAUAACGUGCAGAUGCUGGCCUUUCAUGUUCCUUUGCGAAUAUCAGGACAAAGAAGUCGGAGGAAGCAUAGUUCUAGCUCAUUGGAGCUAAUUCUGAGAGUAAUUUGAUGUAGCAAAACUUGGCUCAUGUGAUUGUACACUUGUAGAGCUUGUUAUCUGAUUGUAUACUUGUAGAGCUUGUUAUCUGAUUGUAAUCUUGAUGCUGAUCACAUUUGUAUGUGUGUUAUAUGAUGUAGCACUUUGAUGGUUGAUAAUAUUUGAAGUAUUUCCUGUA